rnacentral:lncRNA from 1 species
AUGCACUGAUACUGUGAUACCAUUGUGUUCUGUUCUACUUGAGGGGCCGAGGCAGUAAGAGAGACACCAUGCUGAUUGCCGAGCAAACUGUAGCUGCUAUCUAGAGCAAAGCUGUGGAUGCUACUAGGUACUUCGGUUAUUUACUUAUUUUAUAGGUUUGGAAGGAAUCGGGGAUCUCUGCAUCAGGUUGCCAGGUCUUAGCAGAUGGUAAUGGAUCAUGGUUCUUAUGCUUCCUUCGCAAUGUAAUUUAACCCUAAAUAUAUUUAGCUCAAAAUCAUAUAGUAUCAUAGCUCGGCCAGCUCGAUCUUUAAAUUUGCUAGGCUAAAUUAGAGGGUCCUUUACCACCUCUAGAUAUGACAAAGCACUGCCAAGCACCGGUGCUCGGUGCACAGGGGAGCAGCAUGAGCGAUAAACGACACAAGUGGAGGACAAAGGGUUGCCAUUGCCUUUAGCUACGAUGCCAACUUGGCCAUACACAUGAGGGGUAUAGAGUGAGGGAGACAUCAUUGAAGCUGUAGCUGCUAUCUAGAGCAUAAGCUCACGACAAAGCUGUGGAUUGCCUAACAUGUAGUG